rnacentral:rRNA from 1 species
AUUGAACGCUGGCGGCAGGCCUAACACAUGCAAGUCGAGCGGAUGAAGGGAGCUUGCUCCUGGAUUCAGCGGCGGACGGGUGAGUAAUGCCUAGGAAUCUGCCUGGUAGUGGGGGAUAACGUCCGGAAACGGGCGCUAAUACCGCAUACGUCCUGAGGGAGAAAGUGGGGGAUCUUCGGACCUCACGCUAUCAGAUGAGCCUAGGUCGGAUUAGCUAGUUGGUGGGGUAAAGGCCUACCAAGGCGACGAUCCGUAACUGGUCUGAGAGGAUGAUCAGUCACACUGGAACUGAGACACGGUCCAGACUCCUACGGGAGGCAGCAGUGGGGAAUAUUGGACAAUGGGCGAAAGCCUGAUCCAGCCAUGCCGCGUGUGUGAAGAAGGUCUUCGGAUUGUAAAGCACUUUAAGUUGGGAGGAAGGGCAGUAAGUUAAUACCUUGCUGUCUUGACGUUACCAACAGAAUAAGCACCGGCUAACUUCAUG